rnacentral:rRNA from 1 species
ACCGACUGGGUCACCAGUCGGUACGUCUGGUUCAGGGUUGAA